GAUGAACGCUGGCGGCGUGCCUAAUACAUGCAAGUCGAGCGAACGGAUGAGAAGCUUGCUUCUCUGAUGUUAGCGGCGGACGGGUGAGUAACACGUGGAUAACCUACCUAUAAGACUGGGAUAACUUCGGGAAACCGGAGCUAAUACCGGAUAAUAUUUUGAACCGCAUGGUUCAAAAGUGAAAGACGGUCUUGCUGUCACUUAUAGAUGGAUCCGCGCUGCAUUAGCUAGUUGGUAAGGUAACGGCUUACCAAGGCAACGAUGCAUAGCCGACCUGAGAGGGUGAUCGGCCACACUGGAACUGAGACACGGUCCAGACUCCUACGGGAGGCAGCAGUAGGGAAUCUUCCGCAAUGGGCGAAAGCCUGACGGAGCAACGCCGCGUGAGUGAUGAAGGUCCUCGGAUCGUAAAACUCUGUUAUUAGGGAAGAACAUAUGUGUAAGUAACUGUGCACAUCUUGACGGUACCUAAUCAGAAAGCCACGGCUAACUACGUG
rnacentral:rRNA from 1 species